UACAGAGGUCUCAAGCGUUGUUCGGAUUCAUUGGGCGUAAAGGGUGCGUAGGUGGCGCGCUAAGUCAGGUGUGAAAUUUCGGAGCUUAACUCCGAAACUGCAUUUGAUACUGGCGUGCUUGAGGACUGGAGAGGAGACUGGAAUUCACGGUGUAGCAGUGAAAUGCGUAGAUAUCGUGAGGAAGACCAGUGGCGAAGGCGGGUCUCUGGACAGUUCCUGACACUGAGGCACGAAGGCCAGGGGAGCAA
rnacentral:rRNA from 1 species